rnacentral:tRNA from 1 species
GCCGGGAUAGUCUAGUGGUUAUGACGUCUGCCUUACACGCAGAAGGUCGCUAGUUCAAUCCUCGCUCCUGGUA